rnacentral:rRNA from 1 species
CUUGAUUUUCUAUAAGAGGUCCAGCCUGCCCAGUGACCAUGUUCAACGGCCGCGGUAUCCUAACCGUGCGAAGGUAGCGUAAUCACUUGUUCUUUAAAUGUGGACUAGUAUGAAUGGCAUCACGAAGGUUAUACUGUCUCCUUUUUCUAAUCAGUGAAACUAAUCUCCCCGUGAAGAAGCGGGGAUAAAAUUAUAAGACGAGAAGACCCUAUGGAGCUUUAAACAACGCAGCAAUUACCAAAGAAUUUUUAAUGUUUCUGUAACACUAACUUUUACAAGUAAAAUGACUGCAAGUUUUUGGUUGGGGUGACCACGGAGUAUAUCAUAACCUCCAUGUUGAAAGAAUUUUUCUAAGCCAAGAAUUACCAAUCUAAGCAUUAACAAAUUAACAUCCAUUGACCCAAUAAAUUUGAUCAACGAAC